rnacentral:rRNA from 1 species
GAUGAACGCUGACAGAAUGCUUAACACAUGCAAGUCAUUGGCGAAGCUGCGCUUGCGCAGUCUAGCCAAGGCGGACGGGUGAGUAACGCGUAAGGAACUUGCCCUGCAGACAGGGAUAACAGACGGAAACGACUGAUAACACCUGGUAUUGUCAGGCUGGCGCAUGCCGGCCUGAUGAAAGGAGACGCUGCAGGAGAGCCUUGCGUCCUAUUAGCUAGUUGGUGGGGUAACGGCCCACCAAGGCGAUGAUAGGUAGCCGGCCUGAGAGGGUGAACGGCCACAAGGGGACUGAGAUACGGCCCUUACUCCUACGGGAGGCAGCAGUGGGGAAUAUUGGACAAUGGGGGCAACCCUGAUCCAGUAAUUCUGUGUGCACGAAGAAGGUUUUCGGAUUGUAAAGUGCUUUCAGCAGGGAAGAAGAAAGUGACGGUACCUGCAGAAGAAGCGACGGCUAAAUACGUG